rnacentral:rRNA from 1 species
AACGUAGGAGACAAACGUUAUCCGGAGUUACUGGGCGUAAAGGGCGUGUAGGUGGUUUCGUAAGUCUGGCGUGAAAUUUUUCGGCUUAACCGGGAAAGGUCGUCGGAUACUGCGGGACUAGAGGACGGUAGAGGCGUGUGGAAUUCCGGGUGUAGUGGUGAAAUGCGUAGAGAUCCGGAGGAACACCGGUGGCGAAGGCGGGUCUCUGGGCCGAUACUGACGCUGAGGAGCGAAAGCGUGGGGAGCGAACAGG